rnacentral:rRNA from 1 species
GAUGAACGCUGGCGGCGUGCCUAACACAUGCAAGUCGAACGGAAAGGCCACAGCUUGCUGUGGUACUCGAGUGGCGAACGGGUGAGUAACACGUGGGUGAUCUGCCCUGUACUUCGGGAUAAGCUUGGGAAACUGGGUCUAAUACCGGAUAGGAAUCACAUGUGGGUGUGUGGUUGGAAAGCUUUUGCGGUAUGGGAUGAGCUCGCGGCCUAUCAGCUUGUUGGUGGGGUAAUGGCCUACCAAGGCGUCGACGGGUAGCCGGCCUGAGAGGGUGUACGGCCACAUUUGGACUGAGAUACGGCCCAGACUCCUACGGGAGGCAGCAGUGGGGAAUAUUGCACAAUGGGCGCAAGCCUGAUGCAGCGACGCCGCGUGGGGGAUGACGGCCUUCGGGUUGUAAACUCCUUUCGUCAGGGACGAAGCGAAAGUGACGGUACCUGGAUAAGAAGCACCGGCUAACUACGUG